rnacentral:rRNA from 1 species
CCUACGGGUAGCAGCAGUGGGGAAUAUUGCACAAUGGGGGAAACCCUGAUGCAGCGACGCCGCGUGAGUGAAGAAGUAAUUCGUUAUGUAAAGCUCUAUCAGCAGGGAAGAAAAUGACGGUACCUGAGUAAGAAGCCCCGGCUAACUACGUGCCAGCAGCCGGGGUAAUACGUAGGGGGCAAGCGUUAUCAGGAUUUACUGGGUGGAAAGGGAGCGUAGACGGCAGUGCAAGUCUGGAGUGAAAGGCGGGGGCUCAACCCCCGGACUGCUCUGGAAACUGUACGGCUGGAGUGCAGGAGAGGUAAGUGGAAUUCCUAGUGUAGCGGUGAAAUGCGUAGAUAUUAGGAGGAACACCAGUGGCGAAGGCGGCUUACUGGACUGUAACUGACGUUGAGGCUCGAAAGCGUGGGGAGCAAACAGGAUUAGAUACCCUGGUAGUC